UAGGGAAUCUUCCGCAAUGGGCGAAAGCCUGACGGAGCAAUGCCGCGUGAGUGAAGAAGGCCUUCGGGUCGUAAAACUCUGUUAUAAGAGAAGAACAAAUUGUAGAGUAACUGCUACAGUCUUGACGGUAUCUUAUCAGAAAGCCACGGCUAACUACGUGCCAGCAGCCGCGGUAAUACGUAGGUGGCAAGCGUUGUCCGGAUUUAUUGGGCGUAAAGGGAGCGCAGGUGGUUUCUUAAGUCUGAUGUGAAAGCCCACGGCUUAACCGUGGAGGGUCAUUGGAAACUGGGAAACUGGAGUACAGAAGAGGAAUGUGGAACUCCAUGUGUAGCGGUGGAAUGCGUAGAUAUAUGGAAGAACACCAGUGGCGAAGGCGACAUUCUGGUCUGUUACUGACACUGAGGCUCGAAAGCGUGGGGAGCAAACAGG
rnacentral:rRNA from 1 species